rnacentral:rRNA from 1 species
GACGAACGCUGGCGGCGUGCUUAACACAUGCAAGUCGAACGGAAAGGCCCUGCUUUUGUGGGGUGCUCGAGUGGCGAACGGGUGAGUAACACGUGAGUAACCUGCCCUUGACUUUGGGAUAACUUCAGGAAACUGGGGCUAAUACCGGAUAGGAGCUCCUGCUGCAUGGUGGGGGUUGGAAAGUUUCGGCGGGUGGGGAUGGACUCGCGGCUUAUCAGCUUGUUGGUGGGGUAGUGGCUUACCAAGGCUUUGACGGGUAGCCGGCCUGAGAGGGUGACCGGCCACAUUGGGCCUGAGAUAGGGCCCAGAGUCCUACGGGAGGCAGCAGUGGGGAGUCUUGCACAAUGGGCGGGAGCCUGAUGCAGCAACGCCGCGUGUGGGAUGACGGCCUUCGGGUUGUAAACCGCUUUCGCCUGUGACGAAGCGUGAGUGACGGUAAUGGGUAAAGAAGCACCGGCUAACUACGUG